rnacentral:lncRNA from 1 species
GUGCUCUGCAAAGACAGGAGGUGGUCUUGUUACAAAGCAGAAAAGGAUUUAGAAGAUGCAAGCAUACCUGAUGAGCAAGAAAGCAGUGUUGGACAAGAGAAUUUGAACCUCAGAAUAAAAGAGCUGGAGAAAUUGGAGCAAAAACUGAAAUGCACUUUAGACGACUACAUGGAGUCAGAUUCUGUGCUAAGAAAUAGGUAAAUAAAACCUUUUAUUUUUUUGCAUGUAAUAGAUGUCAAGAAAUAUGUGCAAAACUAGCAAAUAAACUCU